rnacentral:tRNA from 1 species
UGGCCUAGUGGACAGGGCACAGGUCUUAUGAGUCAGAAAACCUGGGUUCUAAUCCCAG